GACAGAGGUGCCAAGCGUUAGGCGGAAUCACUGGGCUUAAAGCGUGUGUAGGCGGAUCGUUAAGUACCUUGUGAAAUCCCACGGCUCAACCGUGGAACUGCUGGGUAUACUGGCGAUCUUGAGCCACCUAGGGGCGAGCGGAACAAGCGGUGGAGCGGUGAAAUGCGUAGAUAUCGCUUGGAACGCCAACGGUGAAAACAGCUCGCUGGGGGUGUGCUGACGCUGAGACACGAAAGCCAGGGGAACGAACGGG
rnacentral:rRNA from 1 species